GACGGAGGAUGCAAGCGUUAUCCGGAAUGAUUGGGCGUAAAGCGUCCGCAGGUGGCAGUUCAAGUCUGCUGUCAAAGACCGGGGCUUAACUUCGGAAAGGCAGUGGAAACUGAACAGCUAGAGUAUGGUAGGGGCAGAGGGAAUUCCUGGUGUAGCGGUGAAGUGCGUAGAGAUCAGGAAGAACAUCGGUGGCGAAGGCGCUCUGCUGGACCAUAACUGACACUCAGGGACGAAAGCUAGGGGAGCGAAUGGG
rnacentral:rRNA from 1 species